GACGAACGCUGGCGGCGUGCCUAAUACAUGCAAGUUGAGCGCUGAAGGUUGGUACUUGUACCACCUGGAUGAGCAGCGAACGGGUGAGUAACGCGUGGGGAAUCUGCCUUUGAGCGGGGGACAACAUUUGGAAACGAAUGCUAAUACCGCAUAAAAACUUUAAACACAAGUUUUAAGUUUGAAAGAUGCAAUUGCAUCACUCAAAGAUGAUCCCGCGUUGUAUUAGCUAGUUGGUGAGGUAAAGGCUCGCCAAGGCGAUGAUACAUAGCCGACCUGAGAGGGUGAUCGGCCACAUUGGGACUGAGACACGGCCCAAACUCCUACGGGAGGCAGCAGUAGGGAAUCUUCGGCAAUGGACGAAAGUCUGACCGAGCAACGCCGCGUGAGUGAAGAAGGGUUUCGGAUCGUAAAACUCUGUUGGUAGAGAAGAACGUUGGUGAGAGUGGAAAGCUCAUCAAGUGACGGUAACUACCCAGAAAGGGACGGCUAACUACGUG
rnacentral:rRNA from 1 species